AUUGAACGCUGGCGGCAGGCCUAACACAUGCAAGUCGAGCGGAAACGAGUUAUCUGAACCUUCGGGGAACGAUAACGGCGUCGAGCGGCGGACGGGUGAGUAAUGCCUAGGAAAUUGCCCUGAUGUGGGGGAUAACCAUUGGAAACGAUGGCUAAUACCGCAUGAUGCCUACGGGCCAAAGAGGGGGACCUUCGGGCCUCUCGCGUCAGGAUAUGCCUAGGUGGGAUUAGCUAGUUGGUGAGGUAAGGGCUCACCAGGGCGACGAUCCCUAGCUGGUCUGAGAGGAUGAUCAGCCACACUGGAACUGAGACACGGUCCAGACUCCUACGGGAGGCAGCAGUGGGGAAUAUUGCACAAUGGGCGCAAGCCUGAUGCAGCCAUGCCGCGUGUAUGAAGAAGGCCUUCGGGUUGUAAAGUACUUUCAGUCGUGAGGAAGGCGGCGUCGUUAAUAGCGGCGUUGUUUGACGUUAGCGACAGAAGAAGCACCGGCUAACUCCGUGCCAGCAGCCGCGGUAAUACGGAGGGUGCGAGCGUUAAUCGGAAUUACUGGGCGUAAAGCGCAUGCAGGUGGUUUGUUAAGUCAGAUGUGAAAGCCCGGGGCUCAACCUCGGAAUAGCAUUUGAAACUGGCAGACUAGAGUACUGUAGAGGGGGGUAGAAUUUCAGGUGUAGCGGUGAAAUGCGUAGAGAUCUGAAGGAAUACCGGUGGCGAAGGCGGCCCCCUGGACAGAUACUGACACUCAGAUGCGAAAGCGUGGGGAGCAAACAGG
rnacentral:rRNA from 1 species